UACGAAGGGGGCUAGCGUUGCUCGGAAUCACUGGGCGUAAAGGGCGCGUAGGCGGCCAUUCAAGUCAGGGGUGAAAGCCUGUGGCUCAACCACAGAAUUGCCUUUGAUACUGUUGGCUAGAGACCGGAAGAGGUAAGUGGAACUGCGAGUGUAAGAGGUGAAAUUCGUAGAUAUUCGCAAGAACACCAGUGGCGAAGGCUGGCUUAC
rnacentral:rRNA from 1 species